rnacentral:rRNA from 1 species
GACGAACGCUGGCGGCGUGGAUUAGGCAUGCAAGUCGAACGGUAUCCCUUCCUUCGGGCGGGGAGAGAGUGGCGAACGGGUGAGUAACGCGUAGGUAAUCUACCUUCAGAUGGGGGACAACCCAGGGGAAACUUGGGCUAAUACCGAAUGAGAGAACCUUUCGGGGUUUUAAAAGAUGGCAGUAAUGCUGUUGUUUGAGGAUGAGCCUGCGUCCCAUUAGCUAGUUGGUGAGGUAACGGCUCACCAAGGCGAUGAUAGGUAGGCGGCCUUAACGGGUGGUCGCCCACACUGGGAUUGAGAUACGGCCCAGACUCCUACGGGUGGCAG